GGGGGCGAUACGGUUUCGACGGGGAUACGGAGAUUCGUGUGGCGUGUCGGGGGCGGUUCGGUAACCUCGUUAAAACUGCUGAAUGCUUACAAUUGCCAACGAUAAUGUUGAGCUCGCUCUCGCUGCCUAAUCGCACGUGAGCACAAGAACCCUCGGGUUCCGUCUUUAUGGGUCACGCCUGAUGAUUCAUACUGGCGUCAAGUUUCAGGCUGGUCGAGUGGGCACCAUGGUCGAGGGCGCCCGCAAGACGAGAUUAAAUCACGACCUCUCUAGUGA
rnacentral:tmRNA from 1 species